rnacentral:rRNA from 1 species
UACGUAGGGUGCAAGCGUUGUCCGGAAUUAUUGGGCGUAAAGAGCUCGUAGGCGGUCUGUCGCGUCUGCUGUGAAAACUCGGGGCUUAACCCCGGGCCUGCAGUGGGUACGGGCAGACUAGAGUGCGGUAGGGGAGACUGGAAUUCCUGGUGUAGCGGUGGAAUGCGCAGAUAUCAGGAGGAACACCGGUGGCGAAGGCGGGUCUCUGGGCAGUAACUGACGCUGAGGAGCGAAAGCGUGGGGAGCAAACAGG